UAGUAGAGUGGCGCACGGGUGAGUAACGCGUAAGUAAUCUACCCUCGCAUUUGGGAUAACCCACCGAAAGGUGUGCUAAUACCGGAUACGUCUAAGAUAAUAUCUUUUUUUUAGAGAAAGGUGGCCUCUGAUUCAAGCUACUGUGCGGGGAGGAGCUUGCGUACCAUUAGCUAGUUGGUAGGGUAAUGGCCUACCAAGGCAACGAUGGUUAGCGGGUCUGAGAGGAUGAUCCGCCACACUGGAACUGAAACACGGACCAGACUCCUACGGGAGGCAGCAGUGAGGAAUAUUGCGCAAUGGGGGCAACCCUGACGCAGCGACGCCGCGUGGAUGAUGAAGGCCUUCGGGUUGUAAAAUCCUGUCAGGUGGGAAGAAGUGCUAUAUGGUUAAUAUCUGUAUAGUUUGACGGUACCAUCAAAGGAAGCACCGGCUAACUCCGUGCCAGCAGCCGCGGUAAUACGGAGGGUGCAAGCGUUGUUCGGAAUUACUGGGCGUAAAGCGCGCGCAGGCGGUCUGUUAUGUCAGGUGUGAAAGUCCAUGGCUCAACCAUGGAAGUGCAUUUGAAACUGACAGACUUGAGUACUGGAGGGGGUGGUGGAAUUCCCGGUGUAGAGGUGAAAUUCGUA
rnacentral:rRNA from 1 species